UUGAACGCUGGCGGCAGGCCUAACACAUGCAAGUCGAACGGUAACAGGAAGCAGCUUGCUGCUUUGCUGACGAGUGGCGGACGGGUGAGUAAUGUCUGGGAAACUGCCUGAUGGAGGGGGAUAACUACUGGAAACGGUAGCUAAUACCGCAUAACGUCGCAAGACCAAAGAGGGGGACCUUCGGGCCUCUUGCCAUCGGAUGUGCCCAGAUGGGAUUAGCUUGUUGGUGGGGUAACGGCUCACCAAGGCGACGAUCCCUAGCUGGUCUGAGAGGAUGACCAGCCACACUGGAACUGAGACACGGUCCAGACUCCUACGGGAGGCAGCAGUGGGGAAUAUUGCACAAUGGGCGCAAGCCUGAUGCAGCCAUGCCGCGUGUAUGAAGAAGGCCUUCGGGUUGUAAAGUACUUUCAGCGGGGAGGAAGGGAGUAAAGUUAAUACCUUUACUCAUUGACGUUACCCGCAGAAGAAGCACCGGCUAACUCCGUGCCAGCAGCCGCGGUAAUACGGAGGGUGCAAGCGUUAAUCGGAAUUACUGGGCGUAAAGCGCACGCAGGCGGUUUGUUAAGUCAGAUGUGAAAUCCCCGGGCUCAACCUGGGAACUGCAUCUGAUACUGGCAAGCUUGAGUCUCGUAGAGGGGGGUAGAAUUCCAGGUGUAGCGGUGAAAUGCGUAGAGAUCUGGAGGAAUACCGGUGGCGAAGGCGGCCCCCUGGACGAAGACUGACGCUCAGGUGCGAAAGCGUGGGGAGCAAACAGGAUUAGAUACCCUGGUAGUCCACGCCGUAAACGAUGUCGACUUGGAGGUUGUGCCCUUGAGGCGUGGCUUCCGGAGCUAACGCGUUAAGUCGACCGCCUGGGGAGUACGGCCGCAAGGUUAAAACUCAAAUGAAUUGACGGGGGCCCGCACAAGCGGUGGAGCAUGUGGUUUAAUUCGAUGCAACGCGAAGAACCUUACCUGGUCUUGACAUCCACAGAACUUUCCAGAGAUGGAUUGGUGCCUUCGGGAACUGUGAGACAGGUGCUGCAUGGCUGUCGUCAGCUCGUGUUGUGAAAUGUUGGGUUAAGUCCCGCAACGAGCGCAACCCUUAUCCUUUGUUGCCAGCGGUCCGGCCGGGAACUCAAAGGAGACUGCCAGUGAUAAACUGGAGGAAGGUGGGGGUGACGUCAAGUCAUCAUGGCCCUUACGACCAGGGCUACACACGUGCUACAAUGGCGCAUACAAAGAGAAGCGACCUCGCGAGAGCAAGCGGACCUCAUAAAGUGCGUCGUAGUCCGGAUUGGAGUCUGCAACUCGACUCCAUGAAGUCGGAAUCGCUAGUAAUCGUGGAUCAGAAUGCCACGGUGAAUACGUUCCCGGGCCUUGUACACACCGCCCGUCACACCAUGGGAGUGGGUUGCAAAAGAAGUAGGUAGCUUAACCUUCGGGAGGGCGCUUACCACUUUGUGAUUCAUGACUGGGGUG
rnacentral:rRNA from 1 species